rnacentral:rRNA from 1 species
UACGUAGGGCGCAAGCGUUGUCCGGAAUCAUUGGGCGUAAAGAGCGUGUAGGCGGCCAAUUAAGUCCUGCGUGAAAUCUCGGGGCUCAACCCCGAGCGGUCGUGGGAAACUGGUUGGCUAGAGUGCGGGAGAGGAGAGUGGAAUUCCUGGUGUAGCGGUGAAAUGCGCAGAUAUCAGGAAGAACACCAGUGGCGAAGGCGGCUCGCUGGCCCGGUACUGACGCUGAGGUGCGAAAGCGUGGGGAGCAAACAGG